rnacentral:rRNA from 1 species
GAUGAACGCUGGCGGCGUGCCUAAUACAUGCAAGUCGAGCGAACAGACUAUGAGCUUGCUCCUCUAACGUUAGCGGCUGACGGGUGAGUAACGCAUGGAUAACCUACCUAUAAGACUUGGAUAACUUCGGGAAACCGCAGCUAAUACCAGAUAAUAUAUUGAACCGCAUGGUUCAAUAGUGAAAGACGGCUUUGCUGUCUCUUUUAGAUGAGUCCGCGCCGCAUUAGCUAGGUGGUAAGGUAACGCCUUAUCAAGGCAUCGAUGCGUAGCCGAGCCGAGAGGGUGCUCGGCCAACCAGGAACUUAGCCACGGCCCAGCCUCCUAAUGCAGGCGCCAGUAGGGCAUCUUCUGCAAUGGGCGCAAGCUUGACGGAGCAAAGCCGGCUGAGUUAUGACCGUUAUCGUAUCGUAAAACUCUGUUAUUCGAGAAGAACAAUUGAGUAAGUACCUACGCACGUCUUUACGGUACCUUAUCAGAAAUCCACGGCAAAAUCAGUG